GGGUUCAAUCCCGGGCCUCCCUCAGUGGGUUAAGGAUCUGGCAUUGCCCCAAGCUGUGGCAAAGGCUCAGAUUCUGCAUUCCUGUGGCUGUGGUGUUGGCCAGUAGCUGCAGCUCUGAUUCAGCUCUUAGCCCAGGAACUUCCACAUGCCACAGUUUGGCCAUAAAAAGAAAAUUUUAAAAAGGGGGUGGGAGGGACAAAGGUGGAAAGUACACAAAAGAUCACUAGCCAUGAAAGGAAGGCUGGAAAGCCCAAGGUAGUAAGUAGGUCAAGGAACCAGGAGUGGGCACAGUUUGUAGGAGGCCUUUGCCCACAGCCAGGGAAGAUCAAGACACAAAACAAAUGAGCUGCCAACUGCUACUGGCUGGUGCAGUAUGAAUCUAGGAUAUAUACCUUGUAUUCAAAAUUGUCUCUCUUCUGCUUGAACACCUAACUCACCUGUUGGAAUGCUGGCCUGCCAUGGGCAUUAAGUGAAGUGGGAGCAUGCUCUGGUGAAGACUUGAGAAGGGUUGCUGUGGUCACCUCAGAAGGAGCUCAGUGAUUACCCUCAGCUGUAACUUUGAAAAAGAACAGAUGAUAGCUGUAAGGUUUCUGCUGGAGUAGCAUGAUCCUGAAAUGCUAUAUGUUCUUAGCUGACAGAACUCCCCAUGAGAGCCAGAAAUACAAAACCACAAUGAUCUGUUCAUAUUCCAGCUUUAAGAGCACCAGAUCCCACUCUAAAGAGAAUACUAAGGGGUACCUAAGGGGUUUUUUUGAUAUGACUAAUCAGCUGCCUUCAUCAAUAAGAUGUCAAUGUACAUAAAAUUUGAUCCUGUUUUUCCAGACUGCCAAUUUGAGGACGUCAACAUAGUUCAAGUCUUACAUGCAGAAAUGUGAUAAGGCUCAUUGUCCAGGCAAGAUUCUGAAUUACUUCAUGACUGAUUACACAGUGGUGCCUGUGAUUCUUAAUCUCUUUUUAAAAAGUCAUUAAUUUCCAGUAAAUAAUUCAUGAGCAUGGUAACAAACUGUAUAUAUUGAAAACUCUUCUCCCACGCCUGUGCCCCAACAAACUGUAUAUAUUGAAAACUCUUCUCCCACGCCUGUGCCCCAGCCUUUCGUUCUCCUUCUAAGAGAACUUGUUUUCAUUAAAGUGUAAUUGAUUUACAAUAUUGUCCUAAUUUCUGCUGUACAUCAAAGGGAUGCAGUUAUAUAUACUUUUUAAAAAUACCAUUUUCCCAGAGUUCCUGAUGUGGCUCAGUGGUUAACGAACCCACUAGUAUCCAUGAGAACAUGGGUUCAAUCUCUUGCCUUGCUCAGAGGGUUAAGGUUCUGGCAUUGCUGUGAGCUGUGGUAUAGGCCGACAGGUACAGCUCACAUUGGACCCCCUAGCCUGGGAAAUUCCAUAUGCUGUGGGUGUGGUCCUAAAAAGAUAAAAGACAAAAAAUACAUAUUUUUUCCCAUUAUUGUUUAUCAUAGGACAUUGAAUGUAGUUAUCUGCGCCAUACAAUAGGACCUUGUUGUUUAUCUCCUUGGCAUAUAAUAGUUCAUAUCUGCUAACCUCAACAUCCCUCUCCCAACCCCCUCCCCCUUGGCAACCACACGUCUGUUCUCUUUGUGGGUCUAUUUCUGCCCUGUAGAUAGGUUCAUUUGUGUCAUAUUUUAGAUCACACAUGUAAGUGAUAUCAUUUGGUAUUUGUCUUUCUAUUUCGGACUGACUUCACUUAGUAUGAUAAUCUCUAAGUCCAUCCAUGUUGCUGCAAAUGGCAUUAUUUCAUUCUUUUUAUGGCUGAGUAGUAUCCCAUUGUAUACCUAUACCACAUCUUUUUAAUCCAUUAAUCUGUCCAUGGACAUUUAGGUUGUUUCUAUGUCUUGGCUGUUGUGAAUAGCACUGCUAUGAAUAUAGGGGGUGCAUGUAUCUUUUUGAAUUACAGUUUCAUCCAGUUAUAUACCCAGGAGUGGGAUUGCUGGAUCAUAUGGUAGUUCCAUAUUUAGUUUUCCAAGUAACCUCUAUACUGUUUUCCAUAGUGGCUAAACCAACUUACAUUCCCACCAACAGUGUAGGAGGGUUCCCUUUUCUACAUGCCCUCUCCAGCAUUAUUUGUAGACUUACUAAUGAUAGCAAUUUUGACUGGUGUAAAGUGGUACCUCAUUGUAGUUUUGAUUUGCAUUUCUCUAAUAAUUAAUGAUGUUGAACUUUUUUUUUUUAUGUGCUUAAUGGCCAUUUGUAUUUCUUCUUUGGGGAAAAAAUGUCUGUUUUGAUCUUCUGCCCAUUUUUUUGAUUGGGUUGUUUGGGAUUUUUUUGUUGUUGUUUGGGUUUUUUUGUUUGUUUGUUUUGUUUUGUUUUGUUUUGCCACACCUGUGGAUGUGGAAGUUCCCGGGCCAAGGAUUGAACCCGUACCACAGCAGCGACCUGAGCUGCUGCAGUGACAUCAGAUCCUCAACCUGAGGUGCCACAAGAGAACUCCCCAUUCGUUUGUUUUUAUUUCUAUUGCCUUGGGAGAUUGACCUAAGAUAACACUAGUAUGAUUUAUGGCAGAGAAUGUUUUGCCUAUGAUCUCUUCUCGGAGUUUUAUGGUGUCGUCUUUAAACCAUUUUGAGUUUAUUUAUUGUGUAUGGUGAGAGUGUAAUAUUCUAACAUCAUUUAUUUACAUGCAGCUGUCCAGCUAUCCUGACACCACUUGCUGAAGAGACUUUUUCCCAUUGUGUAUUUUUGCCUCCCUUAUUGAAGAUUAAUUAACUGUGGGUAUGUGUGUUUGUUUCUGGGCUCUCUAUUCUGUUCCACUGAUCCAUAUGCCUAUUUUUGUGCCAAUACCAUGCCAUUUUGUAGUAUUGUCUGAAGUCAAGAGGGUUAUGCCUCCUGCUUUGUUCUUCAGGAUUGCUUUGGCAAUCUUUGGUUUUUUUAUGGUUCCAUGUACAUUUCAGGAUUAUUUGUUCUAGUUCUGUGAAAAAUGUCAUGGGCGAUUUGAUAGGGAUAAUAUUAAAUGUGUACAUUGCUUUGGGUAGUGUGGCCAUUUUAACAAAAUUAAUUCUUCCAAUCCAAGAGCAUGGGAUAACUUUUCAUUUAUUUAAAUCAUCUUCAUUUUCCUUUAUUAAUGUUUUAUAGUUCUCAGCAUUGAAGUCUUUAACAUCCUUGGUCAGGUUUAUCCCUAAAUAUUUUAUUUUUGGCAGUGCAAUUUUAAAAGGUUUUUUACGUUCCCUUUCUGAUUUUUCAUUGUUAGUCAAGAAAUGCAACUGAUUUCUGUAUGCUAAUCUUGUAUCCUGCUCCCUUACAGAAUUAUCAGUUUUAGUAGUUUGUAGAGUCUUUAGGGUGUUCUGUGUAAAGUAUCAUGUCACCCACACAUAAUGACAGUUUUACCUCUUCCCUUCCAAAUUAGAUACUUUUUAUUUCUUUUUCUUGUCUAAUUGCUAUGGCUAGGACUUCCAAUACUAUGUUUAGUAGAAGAUGUGAGAGGAAACAUCCUCUUCUUGUUCCAGGUUAUAACGGGAAGGCUUUCAACUUUUCACUGUUGAGUAUUAUAUUGGCUGUGGGUUUGACAUAGAUAGCUUUUAUUAUGUUGAGAUGUCUUCCCUCUAUACCCACUUUGGUAAGAGUUUUUAUCAUGAAUGGAUGUUGAAUUUUGUCAAAUGCUUUUUCUUUGCAUGCAGAGUUUCCAGGCCAGGAUUGAACCUGUGCCACAGCAGCAACAAAGCCAGAUUCUUAACCUACUGUACCAUGAAGAGACUCUUCAAAUACUUUUUCUGCAUCUAUUGAGGUGAUCAUGUGGGUUUUGUCUUUUUCUUUUGUUUAUGUGGUGUUAUCAUAUUGAUUGAUCUGCAUUUAUUGAACCAUCCUUGUAAACUAGGGAGGAAUUCCACUUGGUUGUGGUGCAUAAUCUUUUUAAUGUGUUUUUAGAUUUGGUUUGCUAAUAUUUUGUUGAGAAUUUUUACAUCUCAUCUAUGUUCACUAAAGAUACUGGCCUGUAAUUUUCUUUUUCGGUCAUGUCUUUGUCUGGUUUUGGUAUCAGGGUCAUAGUGGCUUAAUAGAAUGUUGUUGGGAAUGUUCCUUCCUCAUCACUUUUUUGGAAGAAUUUGAGAAGUAUCAAUAUAAGUUCUCCUUUGUAUGUUUGGUAGAAUUUGCCUGUGAAGCCAUCUGAACCUGGACUUUUGCUUGUAGGGAGUUUUUAAGUUAAAAUUCUAUUUCAGGAGUUGCUAUUGUGGCUCAACAGUAAAGAACCUGACUAGUAUCUACAAAGCCAUGGGUUCAAUCCCAGGCCUCGCUCAGUGGGCUAAGGAUCUGGCAUUGCCAUGAGCUAUGGUGUAGGCUACAGACAUGGCUCAUAUCCCAUGUUGUGGCUGUGGUGUAGACUGGCAGCUGUAGCUCUGAUUCGCCCCCUAGCCUGGGAAUC
rnacentral:lncRNA from 1 species